rnacentral:rRNA from 1 species
UACGAAGGGUGCAAGCGUUAAUCGGAAUUACUGGGCGUAAAGGGUGCGUAGGCGGUUGUUUAAGUCUGUCGUGAAAUCCCCGGGCUCAACCUGGGAAUGGCGAUGGAUACUGGGCAGCUAGAGUGUGUCAGAGGAUGGUGGAAUUCCCGGUGUAGCGGUGAAAUGCGUAGAGAUCGGGAGGAACAUCAGUGGCGAAGGCGGCCAUCUGGGACAACACUGACGCUGAAGCACGAAAGCGUGGGGAGCAAACGGG